rnacentral:rRNA from 1 species
AUUGAACGCUGGCGGCAGGCUUAACACAUGCAAGUCGAGCGGGGUGAUGGUGCUUGCACUAUCACUUAGCGGCGGACGGGUGAGUAAUGCUUAGGAAUCUGCCUAUUAGUGGGGGACAACAUCUCGAAAGGGAUGCUAAUACCGCAUACGUCCUACGGGAGAAAGCAGGGGGUCACUUGUGACCUUGCGCUAAUAGAUGAGCCCAAGUCGGAUUAGCUAGUUGGUGGGGUAAAGGCCUACCAAGGCGACGAUCUGUAGCGGGUCUGAGAGGAUGAUCCGCCACGCUGGGACUGAGACAAGGCCCAGACUCCUACGGGAGGCAGCAGUGGGGAAUAUUGGACAAUGGGGGGAACCCUGAUCCAGCCAUGCCGCGUGUGUGAAGAAGGCCUUAUGGUUGUAAAGCACUUUAAGCGAGGAGGAGGCUCUUUUGGUUAAUACCCAAGAUGAGUGGACGUUACUCGCAGAAUAAGCACCGGCUAACUACGUGCCAGCAGCCGCGGUAA